CCUCCCUCCUCCGGCGAGACCCCCGACGCCGAACCGAACGCCCCGACUCUUCCCUCCUUCCGGCGAGGCGACUCUUCCCUCCUCCCUGCUCCGGCGAUUGUCGCCCUGUUUGUUAUUGCUGUGUAUUUGUGUUCUUCCUCUUGAACGAGCUUCGCAUCAGUUCUUUCCAUGAAACAGCUGCAUACCUGAGACCUAAUGACAAUGCUUAGUAACACUGUAUGUGCCCUCAGCUUAUCUCCUCCAAUCGUAAACCCUGUUCGAAAUCCAUUGCCUUUCCUUUCUUCAUUUUGUGGGCAUGCGAGGAGGAAGAAUUUUUUCUCUUGUUCAAUUUCUUGUGUUGCUCAUUUUCAUCCUUGCAUCGACAUCCACAAGGGUAAGGUGAAGCAAAUUGUCGGAUCCACCCUCAAAGAUUUGGGUUCUGAUGGUGGCGCAACUGCCCUUGUGACUAAUUUUGAGACAGACAAGUCCCCUGCAGAAUUUGCUAAAUUGUACAAGAAGGAUGGGCUUACUGGUGGACAUGUCAUUAUGCUUGGUGUUGAUGUUGC